GGGCCGAUAGUGCAAUGGUAACACGCAUCGUUCGCAACGAUGAGACUGGGGGUCCGAUUCCCCCUCGGUCCA
rnacentral:tRNA from 1 species